rnacentral:rRNA from 1 species
GACGAACGCUGGCGGCGUGCCUAACACAUGCAAGUCGAGCGGGGUUGUAUGGAGUAGCUUGCUACACUGUGCAACCUAGCGGCGGACGGGUGAGUAACGCGUGAGCAACCAACCUUGUACAGGGGGAUAACACGUGGAAACACGUGCUAAUACCGCAUAAGACUACGGUACUGCAUGGUACAGUAGUAAAAGGAGGGAACUCCGGUACGAGACGGGCUCGCGUCCCAUUAGCUGGUUGGUGGGGUAACGGCCCACCAAGGCGACGAUGGGUAGCCGGCCUGAGAGGGUGUCCGGCCACACUGGGACUGAGACACGGCCCAGACUCCUACGGGAGGCAGCAGUGGGGAAUAUUGCGCAAUGGGGGGAACCCUGACGCAGCGACGCCGCGUGAGCGAAGAAGGCCUUCGGGUCGUAAAGCUCUGUCUUUGGGGAAGAAGAAAGUGACGGUACCCAAGGAGGAAGCCCCGGCUAACUACGUG